AGCAAGAGCCCGGAGAUGGAUUCUGAGACAUGAAUCCAGGCCCUACGGGGCGCAGCAGGCGCGAAAACUUUACAAUGCGGGAAACCGUGAUAAGGGGACACCGAGUGCCAGCAUCAUAUGCUGGCUGUCCGGAUGUGUAAAAUACAUCCGUUAGCAAGGGCCGGGCAAGACCGGUGCCAGCCGCCGCGGUAACACCGGCGGCCCGAGUGGUGAUCGUGAUUAUUGGGUCUAAAGGGUCCGUAGCCGGUUUGGUCAGUCCUCCGGGAAAUCUGAUAGCUCAACUAUUAGGCUUUCGGGGGAUACUGCCAGACUUGGAACCGGGAGAGGUAAGAGGUACUACAGGGGUAGGAGUGAAAUCUUGUAAUCCCUGUGGGACCACCUGUGGCGAAGGCGUCUUACCAGAACGGGUUCGACGGUGAGGGACGAAAGCUGGGGGCACGAACCGGAUUAGAUACCCGGGUAGUCCCAGCCGUAAACGAUGCUCGCUAGGUGUCAGGCAUGGCGCGACCGUGUCUGGUGCCGCAGGGAAGCCGUGAAGCGAGCCACCUGGGAAGUACGGCCGCAAGGCUGAAACUUAAAGGAAUUGGCGGGGGAGCACAACAACGGGUGGAGCCUGCGGUUUAAUUGGACUCAACGCCGGACAACUCACCGGGGGCGACAGCAAUAUGUAGGCCAAGCUGAAGACUUUGCCUGAAUCGCUGAGAGGAGGUGCAUGGCCGUCGCCAGUUCGUACUGUGAAGCAUCCUGUUAAGUCAGGCAACGAGCGAGACCCGUGCCCACUGUUACCAGCAUGUCCUCCGGGACGAUGGGUACUCUGUGGGGACCGCCGAUGUUAAAUCGGAGGAAGGUGCGGGCCACGGUAGGUCAGUAUGCCCCGAAUCUCCCGGGCUACACGCGGGCUACAAUGGAUGGGACAAUGGGUCCCUCCCCUGAAAAGGGCUGGUAAUCUCACAAACCCAUUCGUAGUUCGGAUCGAGGGCUGUAACUCGCCCUCGUGAAGCUGGAAUCCGUAGUAAUCGCGUU
rnacentral:rRNA from 1 species